rnacentral:rRNA from 1 species
ACAAUGCGGGACUAUACGUCUUGCAAUUGGAUUGAGAACAAUGUACAACUCUUAUCGAUAAGCCAUUGGAGGGCAAGUCUGGUGCCAGCAGCCGCGGUAAUUCCAGCUCCAAUAGCGUAUAUUAACGUUGUUGCAGUUAAAAAGCUCGUAGUUGAAGUGUGGGUGAUCGCUAUUGUGAGACUUCGGUCUCUCGACAGUAAGUCACCCCCUUCCAGUAUCCAGUAGUGGGUAUUCAGUUACUUACUAUUGUGUGUUGGUCCUUUACUGUGAGAAAAUUAGAGUGUUCAAAGCAGGCGUUUGCUUGAAUAGAUUAGCAUGGAAUAAUAAUUGAAGGCUUUCGUGUUCGAUUUGAUUGGUUUGUUCAUGGAAGCAAGGUUAAAAGGAACAGUUGGGGGUAUUCAUAUUCACUAGUUAGAG